ensembl:misc_RNA
UUGACAGCCCUGAGACUGAAGUCCUCUAUUCAUAGAGCAGCUACAGCACAGCUUCCUCACGCUGCCUCUCAACCCUGACCUGGAGGGAUCACCUCUAGUGGUGAGAUGGCACUUUGGUUUCCAUGCCCAUUCAUUCUUUGGCCUCU